GACGAACGCUGGCGGCGUGCCUAAUACAUGCAAGUCGAACGCUUUUUCUUUCACCGGAGCUUGCUCCACCGAAAGAAAAAGAGUGGCGAACGGGUGAGUAACACGUGGGUAACCUGCCCAUCAGAAGGGGAUAACACUUGGAAACAGGUGCUAAUACCGUAUAACACUAUUUUCCGCAUGGAAGAAAGUUGAAAGGCGCUUUUGCGUCACUGAUGGAUGGACCCGCGGUACAUUAGCUAGUUGGUGAGGUAACGGCUCACCAAGGCAACGAUGCAUAGCCGACCUGGGAGGGUGAUCGGCCACACUGGGACUGAGACACGGCCCAGACGCCUACGGGAGGCAGCAGUAGGGAAUCUUCGGCAAUGGCCGAAAGUCUGACCGAGCAACGCCGCGUGAGUGAAGAAGGUUUUCGGAUCGUAAAACUCUGUUGUUAGAGAAGAACAAGGAUGAGAGUAAAAUGUUCAUCCCUUGACGGUAUCUAACCAGAAAGCCACGGCUAACUACGUGCCAGCCGCCGCGGUAA
rnacentral:rRNA from 1 species